CACCGAUGAAGGAUUUGAACUUCUGAAAUCUGCAUUCCACUUCCUGAGCUACGUACUAGCUGUUUGUGUUGUCCAGGGAAUCCACUGAGUUUUCUGUUGCUGCUUCUCAGUUAAUCCCUGUGCCAGGAAAGGGAUGGAAUCCAAACCCAAGAGAACUAGCUGAAAAAGGUCAAGGUAACUUUAUUGCUGUUGGCUGGGCAGCACCUGGGGGUACUAUGAUGCAGAGAACAUCACAUCCAGAACAUCCUAACUCAGCAGUUACAGAGCACUGUGGAGAUAUGGAUCAAUCUGCCUGGACAGAAGGCCAAACCGAUGCUUGGUGUUUCAGAAGCAAAUGCUGCUGGAAGUCCCUGUUUUAUUGACCAUUGAAAUAGUCAUCAAAUGUGGAAUGUGGGAAGGAAUGUUGCAUCAGAGAAAUCUGAUGACUACAUACUCUGCAUAGACACAUGCUAUGCUGUUAAAUGGACACAGUGGAAGCAGGUGGAAAUUCUGGAGGGAAGUAAUUCUGAUAGGACUUCCAGCAGACAUGUAUGCACUCUUGUCUGGGCUUCAGCGUCCUGAAAGGAAAUCAAUACCUUUCUGCCCUACUAACAGUUUAUAAUGGCUAUCAGUUUGCCAUCCACAAUCUGUAAAACUUAUUUUGUAAAGGAAGAAAAAAUGCAGUUCUGGAAACCAUAUAUAUAUCAUACAUUUACUUCUGUAUAUAUGGACAUGUAGUAGUAUUACUGUAGCUUGC
rnacentral:lncRNA from 1 species